AUUCUACUCCCUCCGUUGCACAAUACAUGCCUUCUAUUUGUCAAAAUAUAUAGGUAUCUAGACAUGUUUUAGUAUAUAGGUACAUCCAUUUUUGGACAAAUGGAAGUCAAGUAUUUUGGAACGGAGGGAGUACACA
rfam:Triticum aestivum genome assembly, contig: Triticum_aestivum_CS42_TGACv1_scaffold_647167_T_4BL-0.076640_4BS-0.039336